rnacentral:sRNA from 1 species
AAACCUGCCCCGCGUUGCUGCCUGAUUCUGCAUUCCCUGGAAUCAGGCAGCAACGCGGGGCAGGUUU